rnacentral:lncRNA from 1 species
CUCACUGAAGAGCAAUGUCUGAGUGCUUACAUUGACCAAAGAAUUGCAUAAUCUGGAAAGAAUCAUCUGAAGUGAAAGACUUAGUCCCUAACCUCAUAAAGUGUAUAAUCACAAGAGAAUGCACAUAUAUACAUUUCAGACAUUUUUAAACCUCUACUAUGUGAAAAAUAAAUUCAAGUUCAAGUUGUUUUACAGAGUUAUCUCUCCAGUAUCAUCAGGAGAUUUGAUACCAUGAUCCUGAAGAGGAUACCAAAAUCCACAGAUGCUCAAGUUCCUUAUACAAAAUGGCCCUCCAUGUCCAUGGAUUCCACAUUCAGGGAUUCACCCUGUGGAUCAAGUUCAAUGGUGAUUGAAGAACCCACAGAAAAAGAAGCCUGACUGUAUUUAAAUGAUUUGUAUUAAAUUGUGGUGUGUGUGGAGGGGGAAUCGCUACUUUUUCAGCCAACUGAGUCACUAUGAUAGGUGUUAAUUCCAAACUCGAGAUGCAACCUAUCAUAUAUUGAGAACAAAACUGAGCUCCCUAAAAUCUUGAUUCUAGUCUUGGCUCCCUUUCAAAAUAGUUGUGUAACCUUGAACCAAGGCAUUUCUCUUCCCCUGGCCUAAGAUUAUCACCUAGGGGAGCAUUUUUACAUUCUUGGAAUGCUAAAAGUCUGUGAUUCAUGGCGCCAGACUACAAUGAGUAUCAGUCAAUAUGCAGAGCACCGCAUUCCAUUAAGGUCUUUUCAUGCCACUAAUGUACUACAUACCUAAAUCAGGACUGCUGUGGGAGAUGGACUACUCCUUCACAGUUUAGAUGCAAUUUAAGAUCCCCGGGGUUCCACAGUAUUCCCAGAUAAUUCAAUUGUAAUUUAUGUUGAUAACUAAAACUCCAGAUCUCAGAAUAAUUGGGCAAAUAUAUCAGAACUUAGUCCCCAUUAAUUCUUUAGGGGAAGUAUAGUUAAGGGGUCUCAGAGAGAGAGCUGGACUUCAUCUCUGCAUAUACAACACUUCAAUAUUUUGAAUAGCUCCAAAAUGCAAGCAGAAAGAGUAUUUUAAUCUUCCAUUACUAUGUGUGAAGCCAGAUACCUCUUUAAAUAGAAAAACUGCUUUGGAAUUCUGUUUGGGGCUGUGGGUGCUGAUUAGCUCUCUGAAGAAGAAUUUCUGUUUCAAGUAUAAGGAAAAAAAAAAAAAAACGCUUAUACUCACUAAUGAGUACUCCCAUAUGGGAAUCAUAAAGAUCCCUGUUAUAUUCAGUUCACAAGGUUCCCAGAGCUUGGGCUGUGUCCUCUGAAGUCUGAGUUUGUGGUUCCAGGAUGAAGCCUGUGAUAAUUUUCACAAAGCUUUGGAAAUGAUCUCAGCUAUACUAAUACAAAUCAGUUUAAUUGAAACAUUUGGUUAUAGGGCUAAAGCAAAUCAAAUAUUGUGUGAUGCUUCAAUUAUGGCAAUUGGUUCUCUUGAAAGAAAGGUUUCUUAUGUAAUAAUUCCACCCAAUGUUCCAUUUACUUCUCUGAGCUCUUAGGAAAGCCAAUUUAAUGUCAGUUUUCACUGCUAUCAUGAAAGGUAACUAAAUCUUGCCAUGGUAUAAAUAAUAUGCACCAUUUUACUGCAGCAAAUGAUUACCUGAGUUAUGUAUGGAGGCAAUGACUCCAAUUUACUCUAACUGUAGUCGUCAACCUGAGUCACACACAUUCACUGGGAUAAAGAAAUAAAAUAUUAGAAUUAAUUUAUUUGACUUUUUAACAAAAAAUCACCAGGUAAAUUUUACUAAUUUUGUAUUCGUCUGUACUUGUUGCUGUGGUUAUUGUUACUGUGGUUACUUACCAUAUGCACUAAGAGAUGUCCUGGUGGAAGAGGUGAUUUUAAAAGUCAAUAGAUUUAUUUGUAUCUUUUUUUUUUAAGAUUCCACAUGUAAGUGAUAUCAUAUGAUGUUUGCCUUUCACUGACUAAUUUCACUAAAUCUGAUAAUUUCUAGUUGCAGAACAGAAACAGAUUGACAGAUUUUGAAAACAAACUCAUGGUUACCAAAGGGGAUAAUUGGGGGAGGGGCAGGAAUGGGCUGGAGGCUUGGAAUUGGCAUCUGCACACUGAGGUAUGUGUAGUAACUGGCCCACAGGGACCUUCCAUAUAGCACAAAGAACUCUACCCAAUAUUCUAUGAUGGUCAAUGUGGGGAAAGAAUCUGAAAGAGAACGGAUGUCUCUACAUGUAAAACUAAAUGACUGUUGUAGAGCAGAAAUUAUCACAACAUUGUAAAUUAACUAUACUUCAAUAAAAAUUUAAAAAUGAAAAAAAUGUAUUAAAACAAUACAAAAUGUAUCUAAUUUCAUUAACCCUCAGAAAAUGCCUAUGUGGUUUAAAAAAAAAAUUGUAGAAAGACAUCAUGGGUUCAAAAAAUUCAUAAGCACAAGAAAAUGGCAAAUUCUUAUAUUUAGAAUGAGUCCCUCCCUGCAUUUUUGCCCUUGACCUAAACUCUGAAUGACUUCACCUUGCUCUCUACGCCUCCAAAUCUCAACUUUCUUUGAUGCCCAAUUCAAGUGCUGUCUGGUCCAUGAUGUCUGAACUGACUGCAGACUUCCCAGGUUGCAUCACCUUAGCUAAAACCCUCAUUCUCAUUCCUUUGGCAAUUAAAUAUUCAUGACAUUCUGAAAGCUCUUCUAUUAUCAUUUAGUAUGUAUUUAUUUUUUUUUAUUUUUUUUUUUUUUUUUGUCUUUUUGACAUAUUCUUGGGCCGCUGCCAUGGCAUAUGGAGGCUCCCAACUAGGGGUUGAAUCAGAGCUGUAGCCUCUGGCCUUCGCCAGAGCCACAGCAACGCAGGAUCUGAGCCGCAUCUGCAACCUACACCACAGCUCACGGCAAUGCUGGAUCCUUAACCCACUAGCAAGGCGAGGGAUCGAACGUACAAUCUCAUGGUUCCUAGUCAGACUCGUUAACCACUGAGCCACGACGGGAACUCCUAUUAUUUAGUAUUUAUGCCUUAAGUAUUUAUGUCUUCUUUAUCUAACCAUACGAUGGAAGAUAGGAGUUUUAUGUUCUUCAAUGGAGAACUUUCUGUUCAAUAGAAUUUUCUGCAGUGAGGAAAUGUUUUAAAUCUGCAUCUUCCUACUUGGUGACUAUUAUCUACAGGUGGGUUACUGAGCACUUGGAAAAAACAAAAGUACAAAUGAGCUUUUAGUAACUAAUUUAAAUAGGUUUAUAUGCCUAGUAACUACUAUAUUAGAUACCCCAUCUUCUAGAACAUCUGAUGUGAUCUCCUAAAUAUAGUAAUUGUGCAUUUUUCCUCAUAAGGCAAAAAAUUCUCAACCAUUUACUCCCUUGCCUCCACAGACCCUGACUGAAAGUUUAACAUCACUUAUUGGUGAAUCCAUUUCCUCUCUUGAAAGCUGCAUUGUGACCACAUCACUGAGCAGUUUAUGAAUAAGGAGUCUUUGUCACAAAUAUUCUACCGUAUUCAGCUCCAAAAUUUUCACUUUCUAGAUGAUCUGGAGGGGAAUGUUUAACUCUAAAUUCUCUUUUUGCUCAUAAUCCUGACCUGCCUCUUUUAUAUGUUGAACUUGCAAAAACAUUUUAAUAUCUAUUAGAAAUGCUUAAUUAGAAAUAAAAGUGGAGCAGCUACACACACAUUUACAUGCAAAGUAUAUAUUUUUAUGAAGACAUAACUCAGUUCAGAAUAUCUGCCUUUUUCAGGAUAAGAAUAAUUGCUUCAUUAGUAUUCCCUCACCAGUUGACUGUUAUCAAAACAACAAGCUCAUAUACCAGUGAAAUUAGAAGAGAGACAGGGCCCUAAGCAAGAGAGGGCAAAAAGGAAUUUAAAUUUUAUCAUUUUAAUUUUUCAAAGGUAAAAACACAGAUGCAUGUAUUUACAUGGGAAUCAUAUGGAUGUAUAUAAUGAAAAGGUUAAGAGUAGUUUUAUCUAGAGGGUAACAUUUCUUGUAUUUUUUAAAGUAUGUUCACAAAUUUUAAGUGUACUAGUUUAUUAAAAUUGAAUAUAUCUUGCAUGUGUAAUGAACAAAUAAUGCAUAUACAUUUCAUAAUUUGAUAUUUGAUGACAUAUCCAAAUAUCUAAAUAUUCUGAUAAUUUGCAUUUCACCUAUGAUCUGAUUUCGAAGAUGAUACCUUAGACAGUGCCUCAGUAAGCUAAGUGAAGCUCACAUAUGUUCAAUGCACAUCUGAAGAUGGCCUCUGAUUUGAGUAUACUUCUCAUGUAUAAAUGUCUGUCAUUACUUUUUGCUACAUCACAGAUUCACCAUUUUUUGAAUUCUUCACCCAGUUUCUACUCUACCAAGUCUCUGAAUUUCAAAUAGUGUCUGCCUCUUGUCUAACACUGAAUAAGCUACUUCAUUUCUAUUAACUUUAGCUCUCUCCUCUUCUAUUUGGAGGGCGUAGGAAGCUCUCAAAUGUUCUCUUGUUUCUCCAUAAACUCAGAAACAGAAGACUAUGCCUGUACCCACCUAAAACAAACAACAUUUUGAAGAAAAGCAAAGGGAAGAGGAAUAUGAAAAACUGAGAUGUUUUCAACACUGCUGUGCACCCUGCAAGAAUCCUCUGUUGUCUCUAGGAUUAAACACUGCCAUAGUAUUGACAUUUCUCUUAAUAACAUAAUAAAUGUUUUUACUACCUUGUCUUGAAAUCCUAGACAUUACUGGGUCAAGGUUAAAAAGAAGGAGAGGAGAAGGAGAAGGAAACAAAGACAAUAGGAAAGUACCAUAUGCCAUCUGGUACCUGGCUGUGAAAAUAGCCAGUGCUACCGAGGAAUGUAUUACUUGUGGUUAACUGUCCUUGUGUUUAAUGAUGUCAAGUCCACAUAGAAAAACUUAAAUACUUUUGCAACUUUAUUUUUUUCCACACACAUAGACACAACCUUCACUUUGUAUUACUCAGAAUAUAGAUGUGACUGAAGUAUGGUUCCCACACAGGUCAUUCAAUGAAGUUCUUCUUUGCCAAGGAUAUUAUUAAGAGACAGAGAUUGCCUGUGUUUCAAUGUUAGGGUUCAUGGUCAUAUACACAUGUCUCAAGGGACCAAUUUAAUGGUCUGAGAUGUUACAAUGUUGAGCAAGGUAGGGAAUGAAGGAAUAGAAUCCCCUCCAAAUAAGGGAAAUAUUGUGUGGCCAGAUAAUCCACUUCACUAAAAAGUAACUAUAGGAGUUCUCUUGUGACACAGCAGGUUAAGGAUCAGGCACUAUCACUGUAGUGCCUUGGGUUGCUGCUG